UACGUAGGUGGCAAGCGUUGUCCGGAUUUACUGGGCGUAAAGGGCGUGCAGGCGGUUUGUUAAGUGCAGGGUGAAAGCCCCCGGCUCAACUGGGGAGGGUCACGCGAUACUGAUCGACUCGAAGGCAGGAGAGGGUAGUGGAAUUCCCGGUGUAGUGGUGAAAUGCGUAGAUAUCGGGAGGAACACCAGUGGCGAAGGCGACUACCUGGCCUGUUCUUGACGCUGAGGCGCGAAAGCUAGGGGAGCAAACGGG
rnacentral:rRNA from 1 species